ACGAACGCUGGCGGCGUGCCUAAUACAUGCAAGUAGAACGCUGAAGAGAGGAGCUUGCUCUUCUUGGAUGAGUUGCGAACGGGUGAGUAACGCGUAGGUAACCUGCCUUGUAGCGGGGGAUAACUAUUGGAAACGAUAGCUAAUACCGCAUAACAAUGGAUGACACAUGUCAUUUAUUUGAAAGGGGCAAUUGCUCCACUACAAGAUGGACCUGCGUUGUAUUUGCUAGUAGGUGAGGUAACGGCUCACCUAGGCGACGAUACAUAGCCGACCUGAGAGGGUGAUCGGCCACACUGGGACUGAGACACGGCCCAGACUCCUACGGGAGGCAGCAGUAGGGAAUCUUCGGCAAUGGGGGCAACCCUGACCGAGCAACGCCGCGUGAGUGAAGAAGGUUUUCGGAUCGUAAAGCUCUGUUGUAAGUCAAGAACGAGUGUGAGAGUGGAAAGUUCACACUGUGACGGUAGCUUACCAGAAAGGGACGGCUAACUACGUGCCAGCAGCCGCGGUAAUACGUAGGUCCCGAGCGUUGUCCGGAUUUAUUGGGCGUAAAGCGAGCGCAGGCGGUUUGAUAAGUCUGAAGUUAAAGGCUGUGGCUCAACCAUAGUUCGCUUUGGAAACUGUCAAACUUGAGUGCAGAAGGGGAGAGUGGAAUUCCAUGUGUAGCGGUGAAAUGCGUAGAUAUAUGGAGGAACACCGGUGGCGAAAGCGGCUCUCUGGUCUGUAACUGACGCUGAGGCUCGAAAGCGUGGGGAGCGAACAGGAUUAGAUACCCUGGUAGUCCACGCCGUAAACGAUGAGUGCUAGGUGUUGGAUCCUUUCCGGGAUUCAGUGCCGCAGCUAACGCAUUAAGCACUCCGCCUGGGGAGUACGACCGCAAGGUUGAAACUCAAAGGAAUUGACGGGGGCCCGCACAAGCGGUGGAGCAUGUGGUUUAAUUCGAAGCAACGCGAAGAACCUUACCAGGUCUUGACAUCCCGAUGCUAUUUCUAGAGAUAGAAAGUUACUUCGGUACAUCGGUGACAGGUGGUGCAUGGUUGUCGUCAGCUCGUGUCGUGAGAUGUUGGGUUAAGUCCCGCAACGAGCGCAACCCCUAUUGUUAGUUGCCAUCAUUCAGUUGGGCACUCUAGCGAGACUGCCGGUAAUAAACCGGAGGAAGGUGGGGAUGACGUCAAAUCAUCAUGCCCCUUAUGACCUGGGCUACACACGUGCUACAAUGGUUGGUACAACGAGUUGCGAGUCGGUGACGGCAAGCUAAUCUCUUAAAGCCAAUCUCAGUUCGGAUUGUAGGCUGCAACUCGCCUACAUGAAGUCGGAAUCGCUAGUAAUCGCGGAUCAGCACGCCGCGGUGAAUACGUUCCCGGGCCUUGUACACACCGCCCGUCACACCACGAGAGUUUGUAACACCCGAAGUCGGUGAGGUAACCUUUUGGAGCCAGCCGCCUAAGGUGGGAUAGAUGAUUGGGGUG
rnacentral:rRNA from 1 species